CUCGUGGCGUGAGCGAAGUGACUUUAUUUGCUAUUAUUUACCACUUGUAAUGCUGUUGGAGACCGCAUAGAAUUUUUUUCAGCGCCGCUUAUCGCCGCUUUGUCAGUGAAGGUUUGUUUGAAUAAAUGUUGUGUUUAACCAAAUGGCGUGUUGAAAAAAAUCCUUGGACUUCAGCUUCAUUAAUGAUCAAGACCAAAGGAGUCUCGCUACUUUGUGGGCAAAUAAACGCAAGUCAAUAGAGGGCCUUUUAUUGGAUUUGGAGCUCGAACUGUUGACUCAGCAAUUACCGGAAGCAAAGGCGACUUUAGAUACCUUGCUGACUGUUUGGAAAGCCUUUGAGAAUUUACACGCGAGUUAUGUACCCGGUAUUGAUUCGAGGGAAAGGCUACAACAUGUUCAAGAACAGUACAGUGCUAUAAAGAAACAAAUGACUGAAAUAAUUGCAAAAUGCGAGGAGUCAAAGAUUAUCAAUGAAACCUUGGAAUGUGGAAUGGACUCAGGAACUGCGGAUCUACCUCUGAGGGAUGAUGUCCUAUCAGUCGCAAGACGUAGCUCAAUGGGAUUAGAGGUAUCACGUGCAUUGUCACGUAAGUCAGCAUUGAAGAAUUCAUUAGUCGCAAAAAAUGAAAUCCGAAAGGGAAAAGUCAAGAAUAAGAGAAGAGUUGGAGUAUAAUGCGAAAAUGGAGUUGGCUAAGCUGGCUGAGGAAGCAGGAAUUGCUGAUCUGGAAUGGAGAAUCGAGAGUAGUUACGACAAGGAGACAGGCAUUGUGACCAACAUUGAUAAACUGGUCAACUCGGCUGCUGCAGAUGAGGGGUUGGUUAAUGGCACAAGCAACUCUCUCCAGUUCCCCACUAUGGGUGAGAACAUUACUAACAAAAACACACAAGCAACUUUGUGGAUGCCACCGCAUCUAAAAUUAACCCAACUGACGCUUCACGGGUGACCUGUGAUGGAAGGGCGUUGACUGAUAAUGUUGUUGCUUCCCAGCAUGCACCAGCUGGCUUACCACAGUUGUCCCAUGAUAAAGGUUUUUCGCCCGACGCUAAUAAUCCUGUCGCAGCGAUGUGGAAUAUUCAGAUGUUGAAUGAGAUAACACCAACACAGUUUACUGUUAAUCCAGCAGACUUUCCAUUCUUUCGGGAAAAAAUUCGCACUCAUCUGGGAGGUGAAUUUUUAAUUGAUGCCCAGCGUUUGCAGUAUCUCCUAAAGUUGGUAUCAGGAGAAGCCCUUGAUGUUGUUAAGCAUAAUCGGGUUGCUCAUUUGAGGACAUAAUGAAGACCUUGGAGGACCGUGAUGGACAGACAAUAUGUGUAACUCAGGCAUUUAUUGAUGAGCUUGUUUCUGGUCCAAAGAUUGCUUAUGGAGACAAUGUUGCUCUUCAAAAAACUAUUAAUCUCAAGCGGAUUGUUGAGCGCUCGCCACAUGAUUUGAUUCGUAAAUGACAGGCAGAGAACUAUGAAAUAGUUAGGCGUGGGAAGAUUUCUCAGUUGAGGGAUGUUGCGGCAUUUGGCAAACGGCAAGCUUUAAUGAGAUAUGAUCCAGUGGACACUAAAACAUCCCCAAGACAAGGACAAAGCAAGAUGACACCUGUCAAACUUUCUACGGUUGCUGCCACAGGGGUAGAGGGAAAGGCUAAGGAGGCCCAAGUUAAUGAUGUUUGCAAGAUAUGUAAGUUAAGGAAACAAAGCUCCAGAACUGCCCUGUGAUAAGACAAUGUGAACUAGGUAAUGUCCUGAACCACUGCCAUGUUAAAAAAUGCUUAGGGCGUCACUUGACUCACUUGUUGCAUAUGGAUAUCUAUAGUGACAACAAUCAAGGCGACCGUAAGAAGGGAGCUUCGAAAGACAAGGAGAAACAAGUCGCUAAUCGUAAUUCCAGUGAGACAAGAGUUACUUCGCCCACGCAUCAAGGUGUUUCGCCCACGGAUAAAAAUACAUACAAAAAGGCUGUUCUAGUGUCUUUUCACUCGCUCAUAAAGACGCGCAUCAGACAGAAUCAGGCAGGAUCCCACAGCACCCGAAAUAAUUCCACUAAUUAGAGCUAUAUUUUAUGGCUCAGCACGUUGAAACAAAAUGUUUUCUGAUGAAAGAGCCCGAGAGUAACUCGUAUUUUUAUCCGCGAAACACCUUGAUGCGUGGGCGAAACACCUUGAUGCGUGGGCGAAACACCUUGAUGCGUGGGCGAAACACCUUGAUGCGUGGGCGAAACUACUCUUAUAGACGUGGGCGAUACCACCUGUUAAGCGACACUACCCGUCUGACACCUGAUGGUCACUACGAAGUCGGUCUAUUAUGGAGAGAUGAUGAUCCCCGUCUUCCUAACAAUAGAGUCAUGGCAGAAAGGAGAGCCGAGUUGUUGCGCCAAAGACUGACCAAGCCUGAAAACGAGGAUUUGGCUGUUAAGUAUCGUGAAGUGAUGGAGGGAUAUAUCGAGAAGGGGUUUGCAAGGAAGCUCACAGAAGAUGAACCGAGAAUUGAGAGCCAGAUUACCUUGUUUCUUCCGACAAACCCGGUCCAAAACCCAAACAAACCGGGAAAGUUGCGAAUAGUAUUUCGUGCUGCCGCAGAGUUUCCUUGAAUAAGGCGCUGCGGAGUGUACCCGAUGUAACAAACAAUCUGGUGGCAGUACUCCUGCGGUUCCGCCAAGGCAAAACAGGAAUUGCAGCUGAUGUUGAGGCGAUGUUUCACCAGAUUCGAGUACGUAAGGAAGAUCGGGAUGCGCUGUGGUCCUCUGGUCGACUACGAUUACCCCCCUGAAGUCUGUAUCACCCGGACGUAUCAAUCAACCAGAUAUGUGACAACAACCGGAUUUGUAACAAAAAUCAACCGGUUAUGUAACAAACUCGUCAACCGGAUUUGUAACAACUUUUAACAACCGGAUUUGUAACAACGUUUAACAACCGGAUUUGUAACAACAAUCAACCGGAUUUGUAACAACCUAAGGAUUUUUGUUUGAAUACAAACUCAUUAUUUCAUUUAAAAAACAGGUCGAACAUCGUUGGUUCUAAAGUAUGUCGGGGGGGGGACUCUAACGAUGAUGUCAUCAAAAUACCGUUCGGCGCAUAUCUUUUAGAUGAUACAUUGUAAGAAGGUCAAAUUUGGUUAUCCUGUCCAUGGAGGUUAAGGGGGUGCACUGGCGAAGUCACGUGACGUGACUUCAUAGAUGACGUCAUCGACGCAAAAAUACCUAUACUAUCUCACUGAAAGAGUCCUAGGGGACCAAUCUUGGUUGACAUGUCCAUGCUGGCAAGGGGGGAAAGGGGUGUACUGGCAAAGUCGCGUGACGUGACGUCAUCGAUGACGUCAUAAAAAUACCUAUAUCAUUCCACUAAAACAGUCCUUUAGGGUACCAGACUUGGUUGACGUGUUCAUGCUGGCAAGGGGGGUGCACUGGCAAAAUCACGUGAUGUGACGUCAUCGAUGACAUCAUAAAAAAUACCUAUAUCAUCUCACUGGAGGAGGAAAAAGCCGUUUCAAAGAAUAACUUUAUGUAAUCUAGAGUGAAUUAACAUACUGCAGGAUUUGACAGCAUAUAUUCAAUAGACAUGUAAACAAAAGAGAACAAAAAGAGCCUUAAGAAGAGUCCUUUAGAUAGCCAGGCGAUAAAUACCAUAAUCAAAGUACAUUAACUUUAUUAUUGCCUAGAGCCCUAAAUUUGAAUUUCCUAUAUCAGGUACUCUAGUUUAUGUAUAGGUUUAUUUUUGUAUUAACCUUAUUAAUUUGUAUGAUGAGCGUUGUUGUAAUAAAAUAGUUUAACCAAA